AUUACUUUAAUAUAUUAGUAUAUUAAAUUUAGAAUUUAAGUAAAUGGAUUUUUCCAUAAGUAAUA
rnacentral:tRNA from 1 species